CCACAACGGGUGGAGCCUGCGGUUUAAUCGGACUCAACGCCGGGAAUCUCACCGGAUAAGACAGCUGAAUGAUAGUCGGGAUGAAGACUCUACUUGACUAGCUGAGAGGAGGUGCAUGGCCGUCGUCAGUUCGUACUGUGAAGCAUCCUGUUUAGUCAGGCAACGAGCGAGACCCACGCGAGCAGUUGCCAGCUUGACCUUUGGGUUGAUGGGGACACUGCUCGGACCGCCUCUGCUAAAGGGGAGGAAGGACUGGGCAACGGUAGGUCAGCAUGCCCCGAAUUAUCCGGGCUACACGCGGGCUACAAUGGACAGGACAAUGGGUUUCGACACCGAGAGGUGAGGAUAAUCUCCUAAACCUGUCCCAAGUUCGGAUUGCGGGUUGUAACUCACCCGCAUGAAGCUGGAAUCCGUAGUAAUCGCGUUUCAACAUACCGCGGUGAAUAUGUCCCUGCUCCUU
rnacentral:rRNA from 1 species